UCCACUUUGGAACUCCUAAGAAUGCUGUCUCCUCCCACCCUAGACGUCCUCACACAGAAUCUGUGAGGGGCUGGCCUAGGCAGAAUUAUCUUUUAAAAACUUUGCAUAUGAGGUGCUUGAUAAAAGCUAGUUGGAUUUGAAUUUGGCCACAGCUCAGAUAAUCUGGGGAACUGGGGUGUCUGCUAAGGAUAUGUGACCAUCUGCUGGUGUAAACCUUUCAGAUGAUGGGGAAGCCGGGCAUCACGGAGAGCUGAGAAGACUCGCUUGUUCACACUUACUCGAAAGCAGAAGAGGCCUGGGAACUUCAGCUGGCGACUCUGGUGUUUCUGACUUUGGCUAUCAGCAAACACUGCUGGAGGCUCUGCCCCGUCCACACCCAGCUUCUGUGAGCACGGAGGAGGCAUAAUCUGCAAAGUCUGACACAGGCCAUGCCUAACCAUCCUUGACUGGCUACCUCCAGUGACAUAAAACUGAGAAGCAAAGACACCCAGGAGGCAAGGCUGCAGUCAUUUAGGAGAGUGGACGGAUGCCAGGGCUGUGCUGCCUGCAGCCUUUGUGGGGCUCAGUGACCAGAGGAGCAGCCCAUGCCAAGCCUAGUCCCCAGGGAUGCUGCCUGCGGUGCUCACGCAUCUUAUACAGGGACACAGAGGAACUCUGGGCUCCACCCUGCAGCCUCUGCUCCAGCACGCGGUGGUCCCAGGAGAUGUAGAACCAGCCCUUCCUCUGCAGUUGCACUGG
rnacentral:lncRNA from 1 species